GUCUACAGCCAGGCCACCCCGAACAAGCCGGGUCCCGUCUGAUCUCAGAAGCUAAGCAGGGUCGGGCCUGGUUAGUACUUGGAUGGGAGACCACUUAGGAAGACAGGUGCUAUAGGUG
rnacentral:rRNA from 1 species